AGGGUGGCAGCAGUUUCGAAUCAUUCACAAUGGGCGAAAGCCUGAUGGUGCGACGCCGCGUGGGGGAUGAAGGUCUCUCGGAUUGUAAACCUCUGUCACUAGGGAAGAAACGCUUCAAGUUAACAGCUUGAAGCCUGACUUAACCUGGAGAGGAAGCACCGGCUAACUCCGUGCCAGCAGCCGCGGUAAUACGGAGGGUGCAAGCGUUAUCCGGAUUCACUGGGUUUAAAGGGUGCGUAGGUGGGCAGGUAAGUCAGUGGUGAAAUCUCCGGGCUUAACCCGGAAACUGCCGUUGAUACUAUCUGUCUUGAAUGUCAGUGGAGGUGAGCGGAAUAUGUCCAUUGUU
rnacentral:rRNA from 1 species